GCUGGAUGGUGUGCUUCCUUUAUGAAAAUGAUGUCAGCACUGCAAGGGUAUAGGUAUUGUUCACCCUUUCAACAAGAAACAGCAGGAUCCAUCCCAAUACUGUAUACAGUGGAACUUUGUGCAAAGGAGAGGCAGUAGCAAUGGGAAAUGGCUCUUCCCAAAAUUCUAUAAAACUCAGUUUUCAUCACUGGCCUUUUCAAUCAUGUAGGGCAACUGCCUUUUUACCCAGAAGGAGGUGCGGCCAGUGCCAUGGUGACACGGUAGCACAUAAUUUGUCUUGUCACGAGUGAAAACAUGCAUCUGACGAGUCCUCCAGGAGUACUCCAAGAACAAAUGACAUUUUCUAUCUUGGUGGGGCAUUCUAUCACUCCGUUCCCAGACAAAUCAAUAUCUCAAGAGUAACAGUUUCUUUGAGUCACAUUGGUAAAUUUCUGGGUCACUGGUUUGUCUAGAAUUUGCUUCAGUCUAGAGUGUUUUCUAUCACAUAUUUUCCUCUACUGGAACACAGACACUGCACUGCCUUUUCCAGACAGUGGUACAGUUCAGUUUAAACAACCUACACUAAGAUUAUGAAAGGCUUGGGUUACCUAACAGAUAUAGUGUGUAUGUGCUAUGUGGGUGGGCAUUAUUAUCAGGAAUAGGCAGUAGGCCUAUUUCUGAAACGUAUUUAAAACACAUAUUUCAAAUACAAAAAUACAGAAUUUUGUCAUUUGUAUU